rnacentral:misc_RNA from 1 species
GAUGAAGAACGUAGCGAAAUGCGAUAAGUAAUGUGAAUUGCAGAAUUCAGUGAAUCAUCGAAUCUUUGAACGCACAUUGCGCCCGCCAGUAUUCUGGCGGGCAUGACUGUUCGAGCGUCAUUUCAACCAUCAAGCCCCCGGGCUUGUGUUGGGGACCUGCGGCUGCCGCAGGCCCUGAAAAGCAGUGGCGGGCUCGCUGUCACACCGAGCGUAGUAGAUUUUAUCUCGCUCUGGGCGUGCUGCGGGUUCCGGCCGUUAAACCACCCUUUUAACCCAAGGUUGACCUCGGAUCAGGUAGGAAGACCCGCUGAACUUAAGCAUAUCAAUAAGCGGAGGA